AGAACGAACGCUGGCGGCAUGCCUAAUACAUGCAAGUCGAACGAACACUUCGGUGUUAGUGGCGCACGGGUGCGUAACGCGUGGGAAUCUGCCCUUGGGUUCGGAAUAACAGUUGGAAACGACUGCUAAUACCGGAUAGGGGGGGGUAUCGAAAGAUCAAAGAUUUAUCGCCCAGGGAUGAGCCCGCGUAGGAUUAGCUAGUUGGUGAGGUAAAGGCUCACCAAGGCGACGAUCCUUAGCUGGUCUGAGAGGAUGAUCAGCCACACUGGGACUGAGACACGGCCCAGACUCCUACGGGAGGCAGCAGUAGGGAAUAUU
rnacentral:rRNA from 1 species